GACGAACGCUGGCGGCGUGCUUAACACAUGCAAGUCGAACGGAAAGGCCCUGCUUUUGUGGGGUGCUCGAGUGGCGAACGGGUGAGUAACACGUGAGUAACCUGCCCUUGACUUUGGGAUAACUUCAGGAAACUGGGGCUAAUACCGGAUAGGAGCUCCUGCUGCAUGGUGGGGGUUGGAAAGUUUCGGCGGUUGGGGAUGGACUCGCGGCUUAUCAGCUUGUUGGUGGGGUAGUGGCUUACCAAGGCUUUGACGGGUAGCCGGCCUGAGAGGGUGACCGGCCACAUUGGGACUGAGGUACGGCCCAGACUCCUACGGGAGGCGGCGGUGGGGAAUGUUGCACAGUGGGCGGAAGCCUGAUGCAGCAACGCCGCGUGCGGUGUGACGGCCUUCGGGUUGUAGUCCGCUUUCGCCUGUGACGAAGCGUGAGUGACGGUAAUGGGUAAAGAAGCACCGGCUAACUACGUG
rnacentral:rRNA from 1 species